rnacentral:rRNA from 1 species
GAGUUUGAUCCUGGCUCAGAAUCAACGCUGGCGGCGUGCCUAACACAUGCAAGUCGAACGCGAAAGUGGAGCAAUUCAUGAGUAGAGUGGCAAACGGGUGAGUAACGCGUGGGCGACCUACCUUCGAGUGGGGGAUAACCUUCCGAAAGGAGGGCUAAUACCGCAUGACAUCCCGUGUUUGGAUACACGGACAUCAAAGCCGGGGAUCGCAAGACCUGGCGCUUGAAGAGGGGCCCGCGUCCGAUUAGCUAGUUGGUGGGGUAACGGCCCACCAAGGCUCCGAUCGGUAUCCGGCCUGAGAGGGCGGACGGACACACUGGAACUGAGACACGGUCCAGACUCCUACGGGAGGCAGCAGUGGGGAAUUGUUCGCAAUGGGCGCAAGCCUGACGACGCAACGCCGCGUGGAGGAUGAAGACUUUCGGGUCGUAAACUCCUUUCGACCGAGAUGAAUUUCCUACGACCUAACACGUCGUAGGAGUGACAGUAUCGAGGGAAGAA